CGAAACGAACCGCAGCAAAGCAUUGAAGAAGAGUCAGUCGAACGACUCUCUGGGAAUCGUGACAAGAUGAUGCUAAUCCGAUAGCUAUCGGCAUCACUCCACGGAUCGUGCUGUAAUUGUUGACGCUGAACGAACUUGAUUUGAUGAACGUUGUUUUCGAAUCGAAAGAGAUCUUUCAACUGGCAUAUCAAGUUAUAGAAUUACAGCGAUGGGAGGAGACGAUGAGGACGGGAUAGCAAAUUCAAUCAUCCAUGAAAUGCUCUGGAAUUUAUUGUCAAACGCAAGAUAUAAAUGAUUGUAGUGACUUUUAAGGUAUUUAUAAGAGUUCCGAGCGUUCAAAAGAAACUCCUAAAACUCUUCGUUGACUACUUCCAAUUCAAUAACAAUUUUUUUCAACAGAACGAUCGUUCCUAUGAAUACUGAUGAAGACAUAAAUCGCUGUACGAUCGGUUCGCUCUAAUGAAGAAUACCUACUGGGAAUUCUCGCCUGACACAUCGUUCCACUGGCAGCCAUAAAAAUAACAGUCAAUGACUGUGGCAUUGCUAUAAAAAUUGUUGACAUGAAUUUCUACGAUUUGUAUUUACGUCCGAACAUUCACCGUAUAAAUCAUCUUAUAAUAGUCUGUCC
rnacentral:lncRNA from 1 species